rnacentral:rRNA from 1 species
CGAAUCCUACGGGAGGCAGCAGUGGGGAAUAUUGCACAAUGGGGGAAACCCUGAUGCAGCGACGCCGCGUGAGUGAAGAAGUAAUUCGUUAUGUAAGGCUCUAUCAGCAGGGAAGAAAAUGACGGUACCUGAGUAAGAAGCCCCGGCUAACUACGUGCCAGCAGCCGCGGUAAUACGUAGGGGGCAAGCGUUAAUCGGAAUUACUGGGCGUAAAGCGCUCGUAGGCGGUAUGUCAAGUCAAGGGUGAAAUCCCCGCGCUCAACGUGGGAACUGCCUUUGAAACUGGCAAACUGGAGUGUGUGAGG